rnacentral:rRNA from 1 species
CCUACGGGUGGCAGCAGUGGGGGAUAUUGGACAAUGGGGGAAACCCUGAUGCAGCGACGCCGCGUGUGGGAAGACGGUCCUCUGGAUUGUAAACCACUGUCCCCAGGGACGAAGAUGACGGUACCUGGGGAGGAAGCUCCGGCUAACUACGUGCAAGCAGCCGCGGUACUACGUAGGGAGCGAGGGUUGUCCGGAAUUACUGGGUGUAAAGGGAGCGUAGGCGGGGAUGCAAGUUGGGUGUCAAAACUACCGGCUCAACUGGUAGUCGCACUCAAAACUGCAGCUCUUGAGUGAAGUAGAGGCAGGCGGAAUGUCUAGGGUAGCGGUGAAAUGCGUAGAUAUUAGGCGGAACACCAGUGGCGAAGGCGGCCUGCUGGGCUUUUACUGACGCUGAGGCUCGAAAGCGUGGGGAGCAAACAGGAUUAGAUACCCCUGUAGUC